ACGGCUCAGUAACACGUGGAUAACCUGCCCUUGGGUCCGGCAUAACCCCGGGAAACUGGGGAUAAUUCCGGAUAACGCACAUAUGCUGGAAUGCUUUAUGCGUAAAAUGGAUUCGUCUGCCCAAGGAUGGGUCUGCGGCCUAUCAGGUAGUAGUGGGUGUAAUGUACCUACUAGCCAACAACGGGUACGGGUUGUGAGAGCAAGAGCCCGGAGAUGGAUUCUGAGACAUGAAUCCAGGCCCUACGGGGCGCAGCAGGCGCGAAAACUUUACAAUGCGGGAAACCGUGAUAAGGGGACACCGAGUGCCAGCGUCAUACGCUGGCUGUCCGGGUGUGUAAAAUACACCUGUUAGCAAGGGCCGGGCAAGACCGGUGCCAGCCGCCGCGGUAACACCGGCGGCCCGAGUGGUGAUCGUGAUUAUUGGGUCUAAAGGGUCCGUAGCCGGUUUGGUCAGUCCUCCGGGAAAUCUGAUAGCUUAACUAUUAGGCUUUCGGGGGAUACUGCCAGACUUGGAACCGGGAGAGGUAAGAGGUACUACAGGGGUAGGAGUGAAAUCUUGUAAUCCCUGUGGGACCACCUGUGGCGAAGGCGUCUUACCAGAACGGGUUCGACGGUGAGGGACGAAAGCUGGGGGCACGAACCGGAUUAGAUACCCGGGUAGUCCCAGCCGUAAACGAUGCUCGCUAGGUGUCAGGCAUGGCGCGACCGUGUCUGGUGCCGCAGGGAAGCCGUGAAGCGAGCCACCUGGGAAGUACGGCCGCAAGGCUGAAACUUAAAGGAAUUGGCGGGGGAGCACA
rnacentral:rRNA from 1 species